GUUUUUAACUGUAUUUUAUUUUCGUAGCGAUUGCUGUACAUUUAUUCAGCGAUGUACAGCAAUCGCUACGAAAAUAAAAUACAGUUAAAAACAAACAAA